GAUGAAGAACGUAGCGAAAUGCGAUAAGUAAUGUGAAUUGCAGAAUUCAGUGGAUCAUCGAAUCUUUGAACGCACAUUGCGCCCGCCAGUAUUCUGGCGGGCAUGCCUGUUCGAGCGUCAUUUCCACCAUCAGGCCCCCGGGCCUGUGUUGGGGACCUGCGGCUGCCCGCAGGCCCCGAAAUUCAGUGGCGGUCGCGCCGUAGCAACCGAGCGUAGUAACUAAAACGUCUCGCUCUGGCUCGCUGGGCGCGCUCCGGCCGUAAAACACCCCCCCUUUUCGCAAAGGUUGACCUCGGAUCAGGUAGGAAUACCCGCUGAACUUAAGCAUAUCAAUAAGCGGAGGA
rnacentral:misc_RNA from 1 species